rnacentral:rRNA from 1 species
GACGAACGCUGGCGGCGUGCUUAACACAUGCAAGUCGAGCGGAAAGGCUCCUUCGGGGGUACUCGAGCGGCGAACGGGUGAGUAACACGUGAGUAAUCUGCCCUCCACUCUGGGAUAACGUUCAGAAAUGGGUGCUAAUACCGGAUGUUCACAGGCUCAUGCAUGUGGGUUUGUGGAAAGGGUUUUUCUGGUGGGGGAUGUGCUCGCGGCCUAUCAGCUUGUUGGUGGGGUAAUGGCCUACCAAGGCUUUGACGGGUAGCCGGCCUGAGAGGGUGACCGGCCACACUGGGACUGAGACACGGCCCAGACUCCUACGGGUGGCAG